rnacentral:lncRNA from 1 species
UUCAGUUGAUGGACAUACAAAGGUCACAGAAAUGUCUAUUUUCAGGUACUGUUCUUUCUUGUUUGCCUGCGAACAGGCUGUAGAUACUUGUAUCCAGGCCAUUGUUUGUUUGUUUUUGUUCUGGGUACAAUGAAAUCCGGCAUAAAUCCUGGCGGUCUAAAUGUUCAGUAUAUUUACAAAUUCGAUCUAUUUUCUGUUCAGUAGACUUUGAUAGCUUGAAAGAAAGUGAGUGUAUGGUUAUUGCAUGGUUCUAUAUAUAUUCUAUAUAUAUACUGCCUUUGUGCACACGCAUAACAAGUACAGCAAUGCAACAGUUUAGACAGGGUCAUGAGGCAGGAUGUGUACAAGAAAAGCUUUGCCAGAGUUUUGUCUUUCGAAAUAGAACGACGAUUGGAAAUUGCUGUUUGAUUCUUUGUAAUAUCUUGUCGCUUGUUAGUGAAAAAGAAAUUUGUCACUUUCCUCAUCUAAGGCCCUGUUUACAUGAGACCGGAACGAAGUCAAACCGGGACCAUUUCGUUUCGGUCACAGUAUUAUUUAUAAUAGAUGUUUACAUGAGACCGGGACGAAAAGAACUCAGACCGGUCUCAAGUCAUUCCGCCUGCUGAACCGAACCGACUGACUUCAGACCGGCAUGAAUUCAGACGGGGAUGAAUGUAAACAGA